GAGAGUGGGUUAGUCCGCACGAGCGCAACCCUGUCCUUAGUUGCCAGCACGUUAUGGUGGGGACUCUAAGGAUACCGCCUGGGACAACCGGGAGGAAGGUGGGGAUGAUGUCAAGUCAGUAUGUCCCUUAUGCCCAGGGCUACACACGUGUUACAAUGGCAAGUACAAAGGGUCGCCAACCCGCGAGGGGGAGCUAAUCCUAUAAAACUUGCCCCAGUUCAGAUUGGAGUCUGCAACUCGACUCCAUGAAGCAGGAAUCGCUAGUAAUCGUGGAUCAGCACGCCACGGUGAAUACGUUCCCGGGUCUUGUACACACCGCCCGUCACGCCAUGGAAGUCAGCAGUACCCAAAGCCGGUGGCCUAACCUUCGGGAGGGAGCCGUCUAAGGUAAGGCUGGUAACUAGGGCGAAGUCGUAACAAGGUAGCCGUACCGGAAGGUGCGGCUGGAUCACCUCCUUUCU
rnacentral:rRNA from 1 species